AUUGGGGUGAAGUCGUAACAAGGUAGCCGUAGGAGAACCUGCGGCUGGAUCACCUCCUUUCUAAGGAAUAAUUACGG
rnacentral:rRNA from 1 species